GGCUUCAUGGUGUAGUGGUCAGCACGCUGGGUGCGUAUUCCAGAGGUCCGUGGUUCGAGUCCCGGCGAAGGCG
rnacentral:tRNA from 1 species